rnacentral:misc_RNA from 1 species
GGCGGGGAACCGGGGAGCC